rnacentral:sRNA from 1 species
AUUCUAUGCUCUGUUGGUCUCCUGAAGGGACUCAGUGAAUUCUCGGAGGAGACACCUUGCAACACGUUCCUGUGCCAAUCCUGCAGGAAAUCUAGGGGUUUCUCCCUGGACUUGGUUGGCUUUAACCCCUUCUCCUGGCCUCGUGUAUGCCCCAUUUCAGGAGGGAGGACAGCUUCAGUAAAUGCACUAGGAUCCAGAGAGGCUGGAGUGCAGUGACAUGAUUUUGACUCACUGCAACCUCUGCCUCUCAGGUUCAAGCGAUUCUUGUGCCUCAGAUUCCCAAGUAGCUAGGAUUACAGGUCCUGAAAAGGUUGCAUCAGCCCUUUAGCCAUUACCUGCCUCUUGAUGAAGCGUCAGAGCAGGUGUGCAUACACCUGCCAGCACAGAAAAACCUUAACGUAAAGUUG